UAUUUGUACUCUUAAGUUCUUAAUCCUCACGGAACUCUCUCUCUCUCCACCCGCUCUCCUGAUCUUUGGAUCUGAAGUCUAUUGCGGCAGCUGGGAAUGAAGUCUUGAAAAGGAGUUGGUUGGCUAGUGGGUUAUGGUUCUCGCACUCAGUUUUGGAAGGAUCAUUGGGUAUCGGGUGGUCUGCGUGAUUUAAAGGAAGAGGCAUGGCCCGGACCCAGGUGAGGAAGAUCGGAAGGAGGCCAUGGUCUAUCUGCCUCGUCAGGUGUACAAGGCCGAGGAGAUGAAGUACAAGAUGGAGGAUAAUGGGGUGCUCUUCACAGAGAUCCCUAAGGAGCCGGAGGUCGGGCCUAGAGCUAAUAGACCACUGAUAAAACAUUUUUGUAUGGCAGAAAGGCACUUCAGGUUUUGCCAAGAAAGAAUUCCAAACUAUUUAGGCUCGAGACAAUCACUCCCAACAACAAAGAAAAUGGUUCGAUACAACCAUGUGGGGAAUGACCAAAGAUGGAGGGAGGGUCCGGGGACAAGGGACGACGGCCGGCGGUCCCGACCCCACCUCCGAUGUAGUCAGCAUCCACAGAAGAUGCCAGCGAGCUUGGAGGUGGGGUUGGGGCUGCCGAACGAUGCCCCCCAGCCCUUGAAUCAGUCAAGAUUACAAAGUUGAGAUCUCGGCCGAUUCGGGAUUUGAGUGCUUCGAAUAGCAACCCGACCUCACUUCCGAGGUUAGUGUCCUCAGAGGGUGCCGCGACCAUGAAUGUGGGGUCGGGCCGUUGUUCAACGGCCCAGUCCCCAAAUCGGUCGAGAACUUAACUUUGAAAUCUCAAUCGAUUCAGGGACUGGGAGUGUCGUCCGGCGGCCUCGACCCCUAUUCAAAGUCACCAGCAUCUACAAUGGACACUUGCGAAAUCGAAGGUGGGGUUCGGGCUGUCGGCCAUCGUCCCCAGCCCCUCCCUCCCUUGCCAGUGGUGGUCCUUCUUUUCGAGGCCUCAAAUUCCCUUUUUUUUUUCCCCAAAAAUUUAAUUUUUAGUUUAAAAAUAUGCAAAUCAAUUUGCUUAUGACACGUGGCUUCCUUUUAUUUGCUUUCAAGUCCACAUUACUAUCUAGUAAUGGGAGGACCAAAGUGGCAAAAAGGGAAGAAGGUUGAGGAUAGAAAUGACUAAAAAAGAGUUUAGAACCAAAGUGACAAAAGUGUCAAAUGUUGAUCAAAACUGUCUUUUUUUUCUCACAAAAAAAAAUGACCAUUCAACUACCUUGCAUAUUGCUUUUGUCUUUGUACAUUUGGUUGUUUAAUCUUUUGUAUAUGCAUUUA